ACAAGCGGAGGAGCAUGUGGUUAAUUCGAUGAUACGCGAGGAACCUUACCUGGGCUCGAACGUAAGAUGACUGUAGGUGAAAGCUUACAUCUCUUCGGAGCAUUUUACGAGGUGCUGCAUGGUUGUCGUCAGCUCGUGCCGUGAGGUGUCGGGUUAAGUCCCAUAACGAGCGCAACCCCUACCUUUAGUUGCCAUCAGGUUAAGCUGGGGACUCUAAAGGAACUGCCUACGCAAGUAGUGAGGAAGGCGGGGAUGACGUCAAAUCAGCACGGCCCUUACGUCCAGGGCUACACACGUGCUACAAUGGCCGAUACAGAGGGCAGUUACCUGGUGACAGGAUGCAAAUCUCCAAAGUCGGUCUCAGUUCGGAUCGGAGUCUGCAACCCGACUCCGUGAAGUUGGAUUCGCUAGUAAUCGCGCAUCAGCCAUGGCGCGGUGAAUACGUUCCCGGGCCUU
rnacentral:rRNA from 1 species